CUUCUCUUUGCUAUGUUUCUCUUUUGUAGGUGGCCUCUUUCUCAUUCCUUAUCUUCUUUUCCUUAAGAACUUCUUAAACCUUCCAGUAAUGAGGGCCAUUUCUUCAUCCUGCUCUUCAUUUUCUAUAUCAUCAGAUUCUUCAUCAGGUUGAGCAGUGGAUUUGAGGGCGAUUAUCCUCUUUUUUUUGAUAUCUUCUUCUUGAUGU
rnacentral:lncRNA from 1 species